rnacentral:rRNA from 1 species
AUUGAACGCUGGCGGCAUGCCUUACACAUGCAAGUCGAACGGCAGCGGACCUUCGGGUGCCGGCGAGUGGCGAACGGGUGAGUAAUAUAUCGGAACGUACCUUUCAGUGGGGGAUAACGUAGCGAAAGUUACGCUAAUACCGCAUAUUCUGUGAGCAGGAAAGCAGGGGAUCGCAAGACCUUGCGCUGAUUGAGCGGCCGAUAUCAGAUUAGCUAGUUGGUGAGGUAAAGGCUCACCAAGGCGACGAUCUGUAGCGGGUCUGAGAGGAUGAUCCGCCACACUGGAACUGAGACACGGUCCAGACUCCUACGGGAGGCAGCAGUGGGGAAUUUUGGACAAUGGGCGCAAGCCUGAUCCAGCCAUGCCGCGUGAGUGAAGAAGGCCCUGGGUUGUAAAGACGUCUUUCGGUCCGGGAAGAAAGUACGCACAGGUUAAUACCUCGUGUGGAGUGACGGUACCGGAAGUAAGAAAGCGAACCGG